GACGAACGCUGGCGGCGUGCUUAACACAUGCAAGUCGAACGAUGAAGCUAGAGCUUGCUCUGGUGGAUUAGUGGCGAACGGGUGAGUAACACGUGAGUAACCUGCCCCGAACUCUGGGAUAACUGCUGGAAACGGUAGCUAAUACCGGAUAUGACCAAUGAAGGCAUCUUCUGUUGGUGGAAAGAAUUUCGGUUCGGGAUGGACUCGCGGCCUAUCAGCUUGUUGGUGAGGUAACGGCUCACCAAGGCGACGACGGGUAGCCGGCCUGAGAGGGUGAUCGGCCACACUAGGACUGAGACACGGCCCAGACUCCUACGGGAGGCAGCAGUGGGGAAUAUUGCACAAUGGGCGCAAGCCUGAUGCAGCAACGCCGCGUGAGGGACGACGGCCUUCGGGUUGUAAACCUCUUUUAGUAGGGAAGAAGCGAAAGUGACGGUACCUGCAGAAAAAGCACCGGCUAACUACGUGCCAGCCGCCGCCGUAA
rnacentral:rRNA from 1 species